rnacentral:misc_RNA from 1 species
AUUUUAGUAGCCAAAAGCUUUAUUUGCCGUUGGAUGGGAGAUGUGUUGCCCCAGAGUUAAGGGGCAUGCACAUUCUCCCAGAAAGUAAACCAUCAUUCAUCAGCCUUGGUACACAAGUUCGAAAUGGAAAAAACAUAACUACAUCAUAGGUAUAGCAGUAAAUGGUCUCUCUCAUGCUAAACAAAAACUCACUUUUCCAUAUUCAAAUGAGAUGCUGGUCUUAAGUAGUUUUGUCCCCCUAUCCUGGUGCCUUUGGUGUCAAAAUGAGACAUCAAGUAUGAAGCUUUUAGGCAUACAGAUCUAUGCCCCAAAACUUUGCAGGUUGGUUGGUCCUAUAGUUGCGGUCCAAACUUUUGAUGAGGUCCAUGUCUUCUUUGGUGAUCUCGAAGUCAAGUACGUUGAAAUUCUCCUGCAGUCUCUCCAGUUUUGAUGAUUUCGGAAUCACAACUGUGUUUCGUUGGAUGCCCCAGCGCAGAAUGACCUGGGCCACAGUCUUCUUAUAUUUCUCAGCUAGACCUUUUGGAGCCGGAUCCUCCAGGCAUGACACUGAACCAAACCACUCAGUAUUAGCGGCAGCACCACCGAGUGGGGUGUGUGCUGUAACACAGAUGCCAUGCUUUUGGCAAAAUUUGACAAGAGAUUCACGCUGGAAAUAAGGAUGAGUCUCGAUUUGAUUCACAGCAGGCUUCACUUUGGAAUAUGCUAGGCAAUCUCGGGUGAGAAAGAUGUCGUAGUUGCUGAUUCCUAUGCUGCGAACCAAGCCCAAGGAUACUAGAUUUUCCAUUCCGUGCCAAGUAGUCUCCAAUGAUAUGGUGGUAUCUAUAUCAAGAACACCAUCCUCACCCAAAGCACUAGCUGUUGUACCAACUCCUGUAUGUUUUGUGGCUACAGGGAAGUGAACAAGGUAGAGAUCCAGAUAAUCCAGGCGUAACUUCUUAAGACUGUCUUUACAGGCCUCAAGAACAUGACCAUGGUCUGAGUUCCAAAGCUUUGUUGUAAUGAAAAGAUCCUCCCUCUUCACGAGCCCUGUCUGAAAUGCUUCUGCGAGUGCUUCCCCAACUUCAGCUUCAUUUUGAUAGUCAGCAGCACAAUCAAAGUGACGGUAGCCAAUCUUGAUGGCGUUGAUGAGAAGAUCUUUCAUAUCUUUUCCUUCCAUUCGCCAAACACCCAAUCCCACAAUCGGCAUCUUGUAGCCGCUGUUCAGUGUUAUCGCCAUUUCUGCUCUCUCUGUGUGUGUUGUUUCUCUUUGAUUGCUUGAAAGUUGAA